UUAACUAUUAUAUAGUACUCAGACAGUAUAGACAAACAGAGUUUAGGUCCUCUGGCAAGCGCUCGCCGGCCGGAGCCAGCAGCCCGAGGGCAGGCUUGCCAAAGCAACAAAGGUAUGUAUACACGGUUUGGGAAUAGAACCCAUUUCAAAAAACGGGGCAUUCUUUAAUGAUCCUUCCGCAGGUUCACCUACGGAAA
rnacentral:misc_RNA from 1 species